rnacentral:rRNA from 1 species
UACGUAGGGUGCAAGCGUUGUCCGGAAUUAUUGGGCGUAAAGGGCUCGUAGGCGGUCUGUCGCGUCGGGAGUGAAAACUCAGGGCUUAACCCUGAGCCUGCUUCUGAUACGGGCAGACUAGAGGUAUGCAGGGGAGAAUGGAAUUCCUGGUGUAGCGGUGAAAUGCGCAGAUAUCAGGAGGAACACCGGUGGCGAAGGCGGUUCUCUGGGCAUUACCUGACGCUGAGGAGCGAAAGUGUGGGGAGCGAACAGG